AAUUUAUUUUCUCACGGUUCUGGAGGCUGGAGUCAGGGAUGGGGUGGCCAGCCUGGCUGGAACCUGGUGAGAGCUCUCUUCUUGGUUGCAGACAGCUGCCUUCUUACUGCGCAUUUGCAUGGUCUUUCCUCGGUAUGGUGAAGACAGGGAGAGAGCACUGCCUCUUCUAAAAGGCCAGCAAUGCUAUCAGAUUAGGACCUCAUCCUUAUGAACUCAUUUAACCUUAUUUUUCCUCCUAAAAGCUCCAUCUCCAAAUGCAGUCACAUUGUGAGUUAGAUCCUCAACAUAUCUUUUUUUUUUUUUGGCCACCCUGUGGCAUAUGGAGUUCCUGGGCGAGGGAUCCGAGCUGCAGUUGCAGCAACGCGAUAUCCUUUAACUCACUAUGCCAGGGAUUGAACUUACAUCUUGGUGCUGCAGAGACGUCACUGAGCCUGUUGCGCCCCACUGGGAACUCUCAACAUACGACUUUUAUUUGGAGGUGGCAUAAUUCAGCAUAUAUUUAUAUCUAUAUUUAUAUUUUACAUUUAAUUUUAUAUACAAACAUCCAGGUGUUCUACUAGUUUUUCUUCUCUCUCUCUCUCUUUUUGGUUUGGCCAUUCCCCACAAGUGCCCAGGCCAGGGAUCGAACCCACGUCACAGCUGUGACUAGAGCCACAGCAGUGACAACUCCGGAUCCUUAACCCACUGAGCCAUGACGACUCACCCAAUUUUCUCUGUUUGGAUUUUUCUUUAUUGCUGUCCUUUAUUGCAGUAUGGGAAAUUGCCAUAAGGGAAACAGCAGUGAAAUUGCCAAAGUUUCUUCCACUCUCCACUUUCCCUAUUCUCAAGGCUCUAAGAAUUGAAGCUAAGAGAUAACCUUGGGUGUGGGGCAGGGACCACUGAACUAGAAUUCAGAACUCACAGAUUCAACUCAUGAUUCACUAAUGUGAUUCUCAGACUCUCUCUCUCCCCUUAAAACUUAAAUUCUUCUAUCUGUCCAAUGAAAUUAAUAAUCUAUAAUCCUGUGAACGUGUGAAGAAAGAAUAGUUAAGAAUUUGUCAUGUAAUGCUAGUUCUUUGUAAUAAAAAUUUGAAAAUGAAAUGCAAAGAUUUUAAUCCAAAGGCAUAAAACUGUUAAAAUGUAACAGACAUUCUCAGCACUUACCAUGUGCUCUAAAAACAUUAACUCACUCGACCUCAACAACAAUGGUAGGAGAUGGGUUAUCUGUUAUCACUACCUUCUCCAUUUGGUAGAAACACAGAGAAGCAGAGUAACUGGUCACUGGCUUUAUAGCUAAUUAGUGACAGAGCCAGGAGUCACAUCAUAGAGACCAGUUACUCUGUGGUCACAAACUACGAAAUUACUGCUUGUUCCUUCUAAUCAGGUCUCUUCCUUGUUCAAAAACCUCCAAUGGCUCUUGAAGCCUAAAGUAAUUAGUACAACUGAGUUGCUCAGUGAUAAAGACCCUCCAGUGACUUUUCUUUGCCACGAAAAUCCUUUCUUCAGGGAGUUCCCUGUUGGUCAGUGGUUAGGAUUUGAUGCUUUCACUGCUGUAGCCCAGGUUUGAUCCCUGGUCUGGGAACUGAGAUCCUACUUCAAGCCGCUGCAUUCUGUGGCCAAAAACAAAUUAAAUAAAUAAAUAAAUAAGUCUUGCUAAAUUUAAAAGACAUUGAAAUCAUACAAGAUAUAUAUAAAAUAAAUAAAGUCUUGAUAAAUUUAAGAUAUUGAAAUCAUACAAAAUAUAUAUUUUUAAAUCAUACAGGAGUUCCUGUCGUGGCGCAUGGUUAAGAGGGCAGGCUCUGGCCUCAGACUGCACAGGCUUUUAUCUAGGCUUGGCCCCUGUUUUAAUCACCUCAUCUAUAAAAUGGGGACAUAGUAGUAUCUUAUGAUGUUGUAAGACCUAAACUACAUAAUACGUGAAAAGCAAUUAGCAUUUUAAUAAGUAGCUGGAAAAUAAGUAAGUGCAAGCUAUAUGGGAGGUAAUAGGUUCAGAUCAUUGUUUGCUGAAUGAAUGGGACUGAAUAGAACAAUAGUAAUUUGAGUAAUCUUUCUAGAAAUGGAUGGUACUUUCCUGUUGAAGCCAACAGCAACUCUUUAUAAAAUGACCAGCUAGCAUUAGAAGUGCAAUGGCCUUGGAGCCAUUUACCUCUGCAAAAUUAACUGGCCUGAACUGGGAUCGACCACUGACAUUGGCCUCUUCAGUCCCACCAUUUUCUGCAAUGGAAUGAAGUGGCCCCAGCUGCAGGCUGGUACCUUAUAUAAUGGGUAUCUCUAAGGACAGAGAACAAUGCAGUUCCCCAGAGGGGGCACUGGCUCACCAUGUAAGGUGGUUACCCAGUUUCCCAGCCAUGAACAAUGAAAAUGAAUAGAAAAUUCAUAAAUAAAUGGCUAGAGGAGAAGGCUCUCUGUUAAAUUCUUAGGUUUUAGACCAGUAGUCUCCGUCUUCAUGGAAAGACUCCUGUAGCAAUACUAGAAGAUUUUGAAGGUAAUCAACCCUGGGUUCUAGAAACAUCUCUGCCAUUAACUAACCAGCUGCAAAACCUUGAGCAAACUGAUGAGUCUCAUCUUGCAUUGACACAACAGGGGACCGAAAUAGCUGCUGUGAAAGGCCCUUUUUGACAUUCUCUUCCCCACAGGCAGAGUCACAUUUUCAGAACUCAGGGCUGUUUACUGUAUUAAAAAAGGGGGUGGGGGACAUAACCAGGCAAUGGAAAUAAUUGCAAAAUGUGUCAGUUAAGAGAAGGCAAAAGGACCAUGGUGGGGCUCAGACUCAGUUGACACCCUGGUGCUACUACGGGAGGGGAGGGUGGUGGUCCUGAUGAAGACCUGGAAGUAUAGGGAUGAGGGAAUAGAGUCCAGGCAAAAAUUGUAGGCUAACUGGGCCAGAGACUGGCCAGGGGCAAAUAUGGCAGUAAAGGGCCUCCCAGGGAACUAUGAGCAUUGCCGGUAAGUGCUCUGAUGACCCUCCCCCAGCCCCACAGGCUCUUGCCCUUCCCCCCUUCACUGGAGUCAAUGAACUCAGUGCCCAUUUCAAAAUCCACCUCCUUGGAGUUCCCGCUGUGGUGCAAUGGGAUCCCAGGCAUCUCUGGAGUGCUGGGAUGAAGGUUCAAUCCCAAGCUCAGCACAGUAGGUUAAGGAUUUGGCGUUGCUGCAGCUGCAGCUUAGUAGCAACUGUGGCUCAAGUGUGAUCUCUGGCCUGGGAGCUCCAUAUGCUUUGGGGUGGCCAAAAAAAAAAAAAANAAAAAAAAAAAAAAAAAAAAAAAAAAUCCACCUCCUUCUCCAGGACACUGCUCUUCCCCCGCCCCCGGACCCACAGACACACACACACACACACACACACACAUAUACUUCCUCUAAAGGCUGAUGGUACUUACUCUGUGCCAUUUCUACGACACUUUCAAGAGGAACACAGGGCUGCCUGGACCUCCUAAGAACAGUUGUAUCCUCUCCAGGAGACCCAAGGCUGUUGGCUCCUUUUUGCCUCCCAGGCAUCCAAUACAGUAGUGCUCAGAAAAUAUUUGUGGCUCUGAGAUUGAGUGACUCAGGCAGGCACCCCACAGGGGUGGAGCGGAGAGUAGAGUUUUAUGGGUUUUAAAUAUGAACCAUACCAUGUUAUCUGAGACUACUACCUCUUUGCUCACCCUGGAAACCUUCAGUUCUAGUUGGAUUUGCUGGGAGCUGAAUGGAGUUUUGUUCCUUUUCAUGCUGAAAACCAUAAUCCAAUGUUUACAUUAAAAAACAUUCACCUAGCACCUACUUCAUGAUCCGCAGUUGUCCAAACACUUUACAAAUGUUGACCCAUUGACUAUUCCUCCAACUAGAUGUGGAAAGAGAGGCACCGAAACACUGUCACUUGCCCUGGGAUCAGAACUAAUAGGCGCCAGAGCUGGGAUUUAAACCCAGGCCCUCUGGUUCCAGAGUACAUGCUCUGCCUGAAAUUUACCUGAGUGGCAGAAAUCUUCAAGAGCAGAAAGAAAAAAAAUGACAUUGAUAUAUUUGUUUCAAAGGAAUUUUUUUUUUCUUGUGUUCCCCUUUCCUUCCUCAUUCAAAGCAAAAUGUUCUGAAGCCAACAGUCUUUUUUCACACCUGAGAGAGCAGGCGGCUCGUUUUCUUUUUUGCUUUGGCAAUCAAAAUGGAAGAGGAAACGAGUGUGGUUUCAUCACUGGUGCUUUCGGGGUGUGUGCUGCGCGUGUGGUCCUGCCUCCCUCCUGGCAGAUCUGGCUGCCCCCCACCCCCUUCCUUCAGGCCUUGUUGCCUCAGGUCCCGGGGACGACUGAACAGUCUGCCUUUCCCCUACAACACUGGGAUGUGGACCAGCCUUUCUGGCAAUUCCGCUUAACCAGACUUUGAGCUUCGAGGGUCUUCUUCAGCC
ensembl:lncRNA